CCAAAACCAAGAAACCCUAAGUAUCUUAUCUGGUGAAAAAGUGAAACCCGAAAGUGAAACUCUCUCAGUGGCAUUCUCCGAUCUCCUCCAACGACGAUCUUCUCCGGUGACAUCUCCUCCAGCGACAGCUUCUCCAGCGGCGAUCUCCUUCUGCAUUCGCCUCCUGUGACGAUAUCCUUCAAUGACGAUCUUUUCCGCGAUGAUCUUCUCCGGCAACACCUGGAGGCGAUCUCCUUCGGCGACAUCUCCUCCCGUCGCGAUCUUUUCCGGUGAUUCCUCUUCCAGCUUCCUCCUUGUCAUCCUCUGUGUCUUCUCCGCCAAAAUCCUCAGUGCCUCCCUUUCGUUCUAGAUCAGCAGUGUUUGAUGAUGAAAACCAAGUGCAGGAGAAUAGCUUCAUAUAUGAAAUGCACCUAUCACCUCCAUCUUCCCUCAAUCAAGUUGUCAUUCCCGUUUCAGAAACUAAUCAAACAAGACACCAUCAUAAUAAAGGCAGCCUUGCAUGUCCACCAGGGGCAAUGAUGCUUUCUGAGAGCACCAGUUGAGUUGAUUGGGAGAGGAAUGCAUGGGAGCCUCUACAAGGUGCUGAUGGUCAACGGUAUGUUCUUGGCUGUGAAGAGGAUCAAGGAUUGGGGAAUCUCCGAAAGUGAUUUCCAGAGAACAAUUGGAAAAGUUAGCCAAGUCAACCAUCCAUUUGUGUUGCAACCUCUUGCUUACGAUUGUUCCCGCCAAGAGAAGCUUCUUGCAUAUGAGUACAUGGACAAUGGGAGUCUCUUCAACAUGCUCUACAAAGUUGGCAUGAAUUAGAUGGAGGAUUUACAUGGUCUUUUAUUCAUAGAACAAAAGACAACUCAAAGGCAUCUAAUAGGGGAAUGAUUAAUAUAAUAAUAUCAGGCCCUCUGGUACAAAAUUCUUGAGCUUAGGUUCUUGCUUCAGAAGCAAUUUUCAAGUUCAAAUAGGUUACCUCAGGAUCCAGUCAAGUCUUCAUUUUGUGAAGCAGAUGAAAAUGUUAGAGUAGCAUACUCAGAUUUGAUUACUUCUUCCAAGGAGACUUUAGAUUCUAUAUUGGAACUCCAAGAGGAUAUAACUAAUCAAGUCGCUGCUUAUAUGAGGGACCCCAGUAGAAUGAUCAAACAGAUGCGGUUGAGAAAAUCUACUGUUAGUGUAUUUGAAUCUGUUGCUAUGGAGGAUCUAGAGACUUUAUAUGCAGAGGCAAAUGCAUAUGCUCUGGCAUCACACAUUUUCUGGGCAUUGUGGGCUCUAAUUCAGAUACAAUUACUAAAUAUUAAUCUUCAUCAUGUUAUGAUGAUUGUGAACGAAAUAAUGACUCUGAAUGUGGAAUUUGAAUAGGCAAAAGUGUCUCCAAUCGAUUUUGAUUAUCUUGGUUACUUUUUUCUUCGAUACAAAGAGUACAAAAGGUAGAAAGACAUGUACUUGUUGCUGGCAAGAUCCUAUAUUGCUGGAUGCAAAAUUAAUGGCAACAUUUAUUCGGAUCAAACUCGUCUAAAGUGAAGACAGUGACAAAGCAAAGAGCUAAUGUUUUGGUGGCUACGGUAACUAUAAUGGAGAAUGUUGUGUCCUGCAGGAGUAGUUUUAAAAUGUUGUGGUCAUGAAGGUGUACCAAACUUCUCAAUCUGUUUUUUCUUUAAAUUGCUAAACUGAAACCAUAAAAUUCCUUGUAAUGACUCAGACAUUGAAUCUUAUGGGUUAUGAUUUCUUACUAAA